rnacentral:piRNA from 1 species
UGAUCUUAUUUUUGAUCAUCA